ACGGGUGAGUAACACAUCGGAACGUGCCUAGUAGUGGGGGAUAACUACUCGAAAGAGUAGCUAAUACCGCAUGAGAUCUAAGGAUGAAAGCAGGGGACCUUCGGGCCUUGCGCUACUAGAGCGGCUGAUGGCAGAUUAGGUAGUUGGUGGGAUAAAAGCUUACCAAGCCGACGAUCUGUAGCUGGUCUGAGAGGACGACCAGCCACACUGGAACUGAGACACGGUCCAGACUCCUACGGGAGGCAGCAGUGGGGAAUUUUGGACAAUGGGCGAAAGCCUGAUCCAGCAAUGCCGCGUGUAGGAUGAAGGCCCUCGGGUUGUAAACUACUUUUGUACGGAACGAAAAGACUCUUUCUAAUAAAGAGGGUCCAUGACGGUACCGUAAGAAUAAGCACCGGCUAACUACGUGCCAGCAGCCGCGGUAAUACGUAGGGUGCGAGCGUUAAUCGGAAUUACUGGGCGUAAAGCGUGCGCAGGCGGUUAUGUAAGACAGAGGUGAAAUCCCCGGGCUCAACCUGGGAACGGCCUUUGUGACUGCAUAGCUAGAGUACGGUAGAGGGGGAUGGAAUUCCGCGUGUAGCAGUGAAAUG
rnacentral:rRNA from 1 species